rnacentral:lncRNA from 1 species
AUUCUUGGUCUAUUCUGAUGUAAUUUAGACGUUUACUAUAGAAAAAUCAGUACAUUUUUCAUUGAGAAGAUAUUUAGAUACUAAUUGCAUUCAGAUCCUUGCCUACGUGUUUCUUGUGGCCACAGGUACUCAGAGGAGAUUAGCAUAGGCUACACCUCAAGCGUUUAAUAUAUACACAUAUGUUCUUAUGCUUCCUGGGCCCCGGCCCUCCUACUCCAAAGCUAAAGCAGUCUCUGUUGAGCUCAGCUCAGAGGCAGUUUCAGUCCAGUUUUAUCACACUGGCCAUGUGACAGUAGAAAAAAGCAUUCCAAAGAGAGUGAGAACCUUAAAGAGAGAAACCCCAAAGAGGUGAGAGCCCACAGAAAUUAAAGCUUUAACAUUUUCUCCUGGUAUACAAAAAGCUUCUCCCACUUAGAAAAAGUUAGCUACUUGGGAGGCUGGGGCAGGAGAAUUGCUUGAACCCGAGAGGCGGAGAUUGCAGUAAGCUGAGAUUGUGACACUGCACUCCAGCCUGGGAGACAGAGAAAGACUCUGUUUCAAAAAAAACAAAACAAAACAAAAAAAGAAAAAGUUUAACUGAGUUGGAUAACUUGAUUCAGUCACUUUGUGUCUUUUCCUCUUGGGGAUGGGAUUGGGUAGAGGUAAGGAGAAGAUGGGGUGGAACUUUCCUCUCCUUUUCCUUCUAGAGAUCAGCACCAGGCACUUUGGAGAAAGCAUAAUAAAUAUAAGACGUGACCUUUAUCCCACUUCUCAAAGGACUAGCACAGUCUUUUGGGGAAGAUACACUGCCUCUAGGACUGGGACAGAUAGCCACUGAGAACCUGCUUCAAAUCACCUUGCACAUUUUCUUGUUGGAAAGAUAACCACUGGAGAAGCAUCUUGUUACCUUCAGCAAAAGUGGAAACAAAUCAAGACAUUUAGAAUGCCACAGCGGACAUCAGUGGUUCAGCAGAGGCAGUUUGCAAUACGGUGUACCACACUAGCUAGAAAUCAGAAAAGAUCGAAGCUAGCCUUUUUAUCUCAGCUGCUCCUUAAAUCAGUGCAACCCCUCCAAAUUAAUGUGAAUUAAAACAUGCAUUGCCUUUCAACUUAAUUCAGUACUUACUAUGUGUGAACCACUGCACAAAAUAGGGGAAGAAAAUGAGGGCAACAAAGGUGUGGAGCCUGUCUUCAAUGAAUUUAGAGUUAGUUUCAGGAUACAUUUUUUUUUUCUUCUGCUGUUGAUUAGGUGUAUCCAUAAGACAAGAAAUAAAUGAGUGGAAAAGUAUAUUCUGUAAGUGUUUUGUCUCUGUAAUAAAAACAAAACAAAACAAAACCCCCAAAACUUCUAACAUGGGCAACUCAGGACAUUUUAAUCCCUUUUUUUUGUUGGACUUCUGAUAAGAUCCAUUUUAUUGAUUCCAUAAAUAUUUAGUAGACUUUAGAGAUAUUAAUACAUUAUAGUUUGAGUUAAUUUGCAUUAAAUUCUAUUUUCUCCUCUUAGGUAUAGAUAGUCUGUUGGAAAAAUAUAUUGUUUGUGGAUUUCUUGGGGAGUGGGGAGGUGAAUUUUACCUGUUGUCUCUGUAGUCCACUACCUUCCAUGCCUCCUAGGGCAGUGGUCCCCAACCUUCUUGGCACCAGGGACCAGUUUCCUGAAAGACAAUUUUUCCACUGAUGGUGUGGGGGAUGGUUGUGGGGUGAAACUCUUCCACCUCAGCUCAUCAGGCAUUAGUUAGGUUCUCAUAAGUGCACAGCCUAGAUCCCUCACAUGUGCAGUUCACAGUAGGGUUCGCAUUGCUGUGAGAAUCUAAGGCUGCCACCGACCUGACAGGAGGCAGAGUUCAGGUGGCAAUGCUUACUGGCCCACCUCUUGCUGUGCGGCCUGGUUCCUAGCAGGCCAUGAACUCCUACAUACUGGUCCACAGCUUGAGGACCCGUGUCCUAGGCGCCUGCCAUUCUGAGUGAGUUAUUAGCAUGAAGAAGAGGAAGAUUUGGUCAAACGUGGGUGCUGGUACCCAGAGACCCAAGAUAGGACAGGGAUGGAACAAAACCCAUCUGGGCAAUGGCUCUAUGAAAAUUUGGUUAAGUAAUUAUUUCAGUAUUCAUUGUAUUGUCCUUUGUGUUCCAUAAGUUAAAUGACUGUUCAGUUUUUCCAAAAAUUUAUUUUUGAUGAGUAUAAGUGUGUCAUGAUUUUCCCAGUGUAAAGACACUGAUAUAACUGUAGACACCAGACAUUUUAUGUAGUGUCUGUGACACAUUUUGGUAUGUAUGAGCCAACAAUAGACACAUCUUUGUCUUGAGGAGUGUCCAUCUGAAUUGAAAAUGUGUCAGCUUUUUUCUUAACAUCAUCAACAGACUUCUUAAUUAAGCUGCCAAUACGUACUGCCAAUAGUACUGUGUGCUGCCUGAGAAAUGCAUUGUGUAAGUGCUACUUCCAUCUUAUUAAAUAAACAAUGUUGCUCUGUAUAAACUGGAUUUAAAGUGUUCUUUGAAUGAGGGAUUAUAUUGCUCCAUAAAUAAUGUGAUAGGAAUUAUCAUAUUAUCCCUUUUAAUUUAAUUUCUAAAAAAAUAUUGUUUGUUCCUCAGUAAAGAAUAGCUCUAAUUGGACUGGUAACUUUAAUGAUAUGAUUCAUCUAUAACAGGCUGAAUCGUCUCAUCCCCAAACUCCUGGUUGCGAUACAGGAUAUUUGUUAUGCCGCUUUCAGUUUGCAUGAAGUAUCUUCCAAGAAGUCUUAGUUAUUAACUUGUGUUAUAAGAAACUGUAUUUAUUUCCUGUUCUGGAAGAUUUCUUGGAGGGUCCAUCUGUAUAUUCCUGGUGCCUAGCAUAGUCUUGCUAAUGGAAUAGUACCUUUAUUGGUGCUAUUUAGGGGUUGGUAGUUUAUAAUCAAUCUACUUAGAAUUAAUCCAAAUAAACUGGAUUUUUUUUAGUAUAUGUGCUGCCGAAGCGAGCACUAAACUGGAUAUUUUUAUAUAGUCUAGUCCCCUGGCCUCUUAUUUGGUAUCUUGGAUUUGCCAUUUCAGCCCUGUUAUUUGUACCAACAUCCACUCUGCUGCCCUGGGCCCUGGCCCACACUCUACGCAUGGACAAGGCUUUUGGAGGGGCUGCUCCACUUCUCAUGCACCGGCCCAUCUGUCAGUAGAAUAGCAAUCUCUGUAUUCACAGGGUACUCAUGGUGUGUCAGAUACUAAACAACUUUACAUAUAUUCUCUCAAUUAUCUCUUUUAAAUCUCACAAUAACAAUUUGAAGUAGGCCCUAUGAGCUGUGGAGGUAUGUAUCUUGCUUAAGCUGUGGAACUCCAAAUCCAGACCUCUUAGACCCAAAGCCUGAAUGAUUACAUCCCUACUCUGUGCCAUAUCCUAGGAGAAAGUCCCAGUGCCUGGCGUGUGUGUGUGUGUGUAGGGUAGAGUAGAUAAAAUCUUUACGUAGUCCAGAUUUACUGCAUUUAAUAUUCCUGAACAGCAAACUGUCUAACAAAUAAAACCCAGCAAAUCACAGUUGUUUUGAGAAUGGAGGAAGGGCAGAGCAACUGGGAGAAAGCAAAGUUGGAAACAAACCAAUUUGAGUCAAACCACUGGCCUUUACCUUACACAGCUUUUUUUUUUUUUCAACUUACUUUUUUUUAACAUGGCCUGACACCAUAUGAUAAAGCCUGACAUAAUUGACCCAGAAUUGAUCCCCAAAUGUCUUUUGGGGGAACAUGCUUUAACUCUGAUUGUUGAUUCUGAGGAAUAAUUGCCACCCUAGAAAGGUAAUUACAUAUGCCAUUGUUUAUACACAUAAUAGGCUCAGAAUGCAUGUUCUGCACAAAUCGAGAGAGAAUCCUACUUGCACAUUUGGGGUGUGUGCUAUGUAUUGUGUUGGGAUGCCACAAAUAGCAUUUGAACUGCUCCCUGUUACUGCUGAUUUUUCCAGCGUGUGUGUGUAAGUGCAUAAGGGAGAGGUUAGGAGCAAGGUAGGUUGUGGGUCAUGGAAGGCUGUUUGUUGAGCUGAAUGGUAGUGAUUUGCUUUUCCUUAAUUUUUUUGUUUACCAAAACAUCUUUUGGAUCUAAUUCAUUUAGCUUGGUCUGGUAAAAAGACUAGUUUCUCUGUGCUUGACAUAUGCUUAUUAAUGAGUUCUCAUAUUUCUUUCCCUCAAGGUCUGUUUACUUUGUGGAAAUAAUGUAGUGAGAAUCCUUCUACACAACAUCCUCCUAAAUGCCCUGGUUUUGACCACCCCUUUAAGUAUUAAUACACAAGUCCGUCAGGUAAGGUGGUAGCUAGUGCCUUUCCUCUGCUGUGCUUUCUGGUCAAACAUAAAUGGAUUUUAAGCCACAAAUGACCAAUUAAAGCACUUCAUGCCCUUUUCCUUUAGCCAUAAGAUAGUAGUUAUCCUAAGUAAAUACAGCAAACAGGCUAUUCUGGGAUAGUCUAAGACAAGGAACUUAAUAUUUUACAAAAUCAAAGUCUUAAGAAAACCAAAAUGUCCUGAGUUUUUGUAGUGCUGCACAAUGAAACAAAUAUGCAGGUAUUCCAAUAUGGAACUGAGCAUUGUCUGAGGCUGAAGCCAUCCAUCGUGGGCUAUUCUCUGCUACAGUGUCCAGCAAAUUGCAGGACCUGCUUGUUAGGCUUGACAACAGUGUUUUACUUAACAAAGGCCUCUGCAGCACCAAGCAGCAGUGGAAUGUCAGAAUGAGCACAUUUCACACACAGAUGUGCAGCCAUAAUAGCCUAUAAGAAGAUGCAUGUGGCAGGGGGCUGCGGGUGGGGGCGGGGUGAGGAGGGUGCUUGCAGUGGUGUGGUGUGUGAGUAUGUAGGUUGGGGGCCAGGAGGAGGGGGAGGCCAACAGUUAGCAAUAGGGUCGUGGCCCCACUGACCACAUUUAAUCAGCUCUCUGUAAACAAUUCCACAUUUUCAUUGUUCUCUAAAAACUAAUAAAGAGAAACAAGCACUUUUCAUUCAUCUUGAAGUAAUUUUCUGUCAGGUUGGAGCCCCUCGUGGCCUCCAGCUUGUGCAAUGCUAGCUGUGUGAUACAACAACUAUUGCAAUUUAUUUUACAAACUCUGGUCAUUCACAUGUCAGUUAGUGUUCACCAAGCCGGCAUCUGAAAUUGUGCAGUUAACGAGUUUUACAACAUUUCUAUCAAGAGAAACUGUUUAGCAUAACUGACUCUUAAGGAGUUAUUAUACCUCUAAAAAUCCAUUUUAAGGGGCAUUAUUUAAAUAAAAUAGAAAAACGGUUCACUGCCUUUUAAAGGGGCUACAAAAAAAGUCCAUCAGCUCCAGAGCAGUAAUCCUCAGCUUAAAGCACUCUUGAGAGUACUUCUGGGAAUUGUCAGCAUAAUGAAAUGUUUUGUGAAAUGUCCAGAUAGAUUCCUCUACUCAACAAUUUUACUGCACCAUAUUUAUUUUCCUUCCAGUUUUUAAAGAA